CUUUAGGCCCAUUAAACUUGAUAUAAAUCUACCAAUUACCCUAAUUCAUGUCUUCUUGGUUGAAGGAGCAAACGGCACCUCCUUCAUUCUCGGUUUCAUAGGUUUGCGUGGCUAUUUCUUGAUUUGCGGUUAUCACAUCAUCUCUUAAAAGAGAGGCGUUUUCUCUAGGAUACUUCCUCAUCAACAUACUCUAAGGACGUGAAAAGUAUGCUUUAGAGUUGUUUGAUGGUAGAGAUAUGAUGAUAUGGUCAAAAGAGACAGCUUCCAAACCUUGUGAUAAAAUGUCAUCGCAUCAUGGUCUUCAAAAUCAAAAGCACCAACUUCCCAUGCUCUUGAAUUCUAGUUCUAAAAAUUCACAGGAACUUGGCAGGCAACCAAGCACGCAUUAGACAGGGUAGAGAGACCAAGACUGCGUCGGCUAGACGCGAGCGGGCGGCGCAGCUGGCGUCGACGCAGGGACAGGGGCAGGGCCGGGGACGUGUGCGAGUUCCCGUGCAGAUGGACGCGGGUACCUCUGCAUCUGGAUCGAGGAGUCGUCUGGCUCGGGUAUCUUCCGUGGCUGCCCUCUCCGGUGCUGGUACAUGUUUGUGGUAGGCGCUGCACUCUUUGUCGACAAGAGUGCAAGGUACGUCGAUGUGACCUACCUCCGCUAUUUCAUGGACUUGACUACCGUUCACCAGUGCAACUGAGGGUCAGCUGUUCUGGCAUACCUAUAUCAGAAGCUAAAUGAGGCCUCCAACUGGAGGACCAGGCAGUUGACCGGAUCCUGCACACUACUUACGAGCUGGAUCAUCUCCUACUUCCCCCGUAUCCACGGCUUCCGCGUUGAUUCCGCGUACGAGGACGCCAUGCCCAGAGCCGCCAGAUACGUUCUUUAGAGGGGGAACAAUACAGUGGGACCAUACUGUGGGUACCUCGACCGCACGAUGCACGAUGAUGUCACUUGGAGGCCAUUCAGCGACUACACUAAUGUUGUCCCCUUUGACAGCAUCUCGUUAUAUUCUGGAUGGUUGGCAUGCGGGACCAACACCAUUGUGUGGUAUCUCCCUGAGCGGUGCAUGCGGCAGUUUAGAUUUGUGCAGAUGAUACCCAGGUCACCUUUUGAGGCUGCUCCCGACACAGUGACCCGAGUGCAGCUCACUGGCAUAUUUGAGGAUUGGGAGCGUCAUGUGGUCUCGGAGGAGUAUCGUCGCAUUCGGGUCACCUAGGACUGGCACAGUAUGGAGGGGUAUGUCACAUGGUUCUAUCGGGUGUCACAUUCUCUGAUGAAACCCGACGCUCCUGGCGCUCCUAGGCCAGCACACGAGGAGAUCUUGAAGAACCAGCAGGCCGAGGAUGACCAUGCCAUUGAUCUUCUGCCGAUCUGCCAGCGGAUAGAGAUGCUUGGGCGGGUGUCGCUAUCGCGAAAAUUAACAGAGUCGCCACUAACAUAUUUAUCCUGAAAAGGAAGGGAAUGCCAGCAAACCACAAAACAAAACAACGGUCUCACGACCAGAGAAAAAGGGUAAGGGAGUCGGUUACGCGAGGGGAAGGUAUUAGCACCCAUCGCGCCCAUCGUACUCGAUGGUAUCCACGCUUGUGUCUAAAACUAUGGGUGUGUAGUAAAUCUAUGCUAAUCUGGACUAAAAUGCAUGCAAAAUGUAGGGAAAAGAAAGAGUUAUGCUCGCACGGGCCCUAUCCCGCUGCCUACGUAUCCUUUUUGAGGAAUCAGAGGUACCGUAGCUCGGCUAACUAAUUUUUGUUUGUUUUGUGUUUUUUAGGUGAACGAGUUAAAUUCACACUCCGCUGCUCGACCUUUGGAGACUUAGGCUUGGGAAUGGAGCGGAAAUAACAAGCUCUUAAGAAAAGAAAAUCAAAGAGUGUGGUUUGUGUUUUAAAAGAUGCAUGAGGAAAACCUAAACUAAGGGGGGAAAGCUUGCUACCUAAUGUUAUCAUACAAAGGGUACAAGUCUAAACUAAACUAGCAAUCUACAGGGGAUAAGGGAAACAAACAAUAAUGUCACACAAACGAGCUCCGCUCGUAAAGCAAACAAAACCAACGGUACUGACCGAAUGGUAGAAAAGCGGUCCCGCCAUAGCCAAGGGGAGCAACUCAACCCAAGUCAACCAAGCAUUAGACCUCGCGAAAAUGAUCGGGCCAUAGACAAGAGGAGCGAGUCCCUCUCAGCAACCAAGCCGUUAUGGAUCGUAAAGGAAAACGGUGCGUGCGUACACCAAGCAUCAACGUCGAGCGACGCGAGCUAUAGGAAAGGCGGGGGUCCGGCUACAUGAACCCUUUUCCUGACAUACUCGAUAACAAGAUCUUGUGCAGGUUCAGAAGCAAGCAACGUGCAGCGUGCGCAUACUGAACGGACUCGAUGAGACUGGGCGGGGGUUGAUUGUUAACCCUUUCCGCAUGCCUUCCAUGAGGACUUAACGGAGUGCCAUAUAGGACUUAUUACACCGUGACUCCCUGUCGCAAAGCACAAAUAUAAACACACCAACAAAAACAGAGCCUCUUUCGAGGACUUGGCCAGAUGCAUGUCUAAGUCCUACUUCUCAUGUUAUUGGAUGAUGCGAGAAAGCGAUAAAGUGCGAGAAAAGUAAAAUGAAACGGGAUCAAUACCAAACGGAUGAUGAUCCGUAAACUAAAGUGAAGCAAAGCGAAGAAACUAAGAAUCCCGCGAGCGAGCUAGCAAAGCAAAAGCAAAUGGUCAGCACACCGAUUAGCCAUGAAAGCACACAAAGGUCGACAUAUGCGUCGAGCAUAAUCACAAUACACCUGCAAGAGGAACAAGCAAACCAAAUAAGCAGAUAUAAAGUACAAGGAUCGUGUCUUUAGGAUGAGAACACGAUGCGAGCGAAAGAAAUCGUGUUCCGCAAGUAAGCGGAACACUCAAGCAAUAAGCGCCGGUCUGUGACUAUCCAAAAACCUUGCACACUAGCACACAAGUUAGAGAUAACAAACAUCGCAAUCGGAAUUGCGUUAUUACUAUAAAGCGAAAGGAAACGGACAAGUAAUGUAAACAUGAAAUGGAUAAUGAAACAUCAAAGAGAAAUCAAACAUGAAUGAUCUACAAAUUAUUGAAAACUAAGCAUCUAGUAAGAUAGUACGUCUCAUAAGCUUUCCGUCGAUAUAAAGAACGUGCAAAUCGGAGCUACGAGUAAAAACUUAUACAAGAUUGAAGUUAGAAAAGAAAACACAAAAAUUACACACAGGAACCGGUUCCUGCAUAGGACAACCCGGUUCCUAGUACUAAAAACCAGAGGCAGAAAACUGGGAACCGGUUCCCACCUAGGGACAACCCGGUUCCUGGUACUAAAUCACAGAAGCAAGCACAUUUCAAAUUACUGAGAACCGGUUCCCGCCUAGGGACAACCCGGUUCCUAACACACAAAUCAGAGGGCAAAAACAACGCAGGAACCGGUUCCCACCUAGGGACAACCCGGUUCCUGGUACUAAAAUGCAGAGAAUCAACAAUUUUGGAUUGAGUGGGAACCGGUUCCCGCUUGGGACAACCCGGUUCCUGACGUAGCAAAACCAGUUUUUAAGCAUUUUUAAGGCCUCGGAGCCAUUCACACUCAAUCCAAAAUCGUUCCGACUCGAAAUCAAAGCGAACAAACAUUGAAUAUUCAUGCUAUACGUAAAUCCACAAAUCAAAUGAGUCACAUAUCAACAAUUAUGCUAAGUGCGACGCGUCGAGCAAGGCAAAUAUCAAUCGAAAGUGUAACACAUGCAUUUAUACAAACACAUUGAGUACGUUGCAAACAACACAAAUGAACAUCAACAAUUAUGCACACAAAAUCAUCAACGAAUCACGGAUUCAAACACGAGCACCACAAUUCAUCAUCAACGGAUAUCAUUUACAUGCAAUGAACAUUAAAGUUAAACACAAAAUCACAUGAUCAUUAUCAAUUCAAGCAAAAAUAAACAAAUUCACCGAUCAACCAUCAUCAAUCAAGAACAAGAGGUAGAUCUAGAUUCGAAUUCACAUAAUAGUCAACAAUUAAGCACUUAAUUCAAGAUCCGAAAGCUUACCGGAUGAAGAUCUAAACCGAAGUGCGAACACGAACUCGAUAUGAACGCGAACACGACACGAACGCGAACACAACUCGAAAGCGAAACUCGAAGUGAGAGAGAGGUAGAGGCGCGCGAGAUUUGAGGAGAGAGAGAGAAGAAAAUCAAACUUCGAAUCUUAAUUCUUUAAUCCAUGUUCUUGAUCUUGAUGAAGAUUGAUGAGUUUUUGAUGAAAGUUUUAUGUAAUUUGUGGUUUUGAUUCAAGAUAAUUGAGAGAGAAUUGAGAGAAAGUGUUUUUGAUAUUUUUGGUAACUUGAAAUUAUGAGAGUCCCCCCUUAAUUUGUGAAGAGCAAAAUGUUUAUAUAUUGUCAACGCGAAAUGUCCAAAUUGCCCUCGGUGCGUCCUAUUUUGGCUCGUUUUUAUGGAAACUCGGUUCGGCUCUGAAUUCCGGAACAAAACCAAUGCCACUGUGAAGAUGACCAAAUUCGGGACUCGUUGCCGCGAGAAUCGUCUCAAUCCGAUAAGCGAUGAAGAAAAUACGCCCGUUUGAAUGACGAGAAACGUCGAUUCAUCUGGUACGACUGUGCAGAAUUUUGUGAGUACCGCUCAAAGAACUCGAUCUGGACAUGAUGCCAGAAAAUAAGUAGGACAAUCUUCAUCUGAAAGACAAAAUCGAUCAGGUAGACAUCUCCAUCUGAUCUGAUGAUAUCCGUGGCUUGCUCCUUCGUAAGAUCUUGGGAGAUCCGGAGGCGGUUCCUUCAACUAAUCUGAAUCUGAAUAUUAGGAUAGGAACAGAUAUCUCUUCCGAACUGUGUACGCCGGGUAAAGAAAGUGUCUUCAACUGAUAGUUAGGCAUCCGGACUGGGCAGACGAGUUUCUUCUUCUGAACGAUCUAAAUCGUCAGGGAGUAGAUAUUUCCAACUGAUCUGAUGUAUCAGAGGGCUUGCUCCUUCGGAAGAUCUUGGGAGAUCCGGAGGCGGUUCCUUCAACUGAGCUGAAUAUCAGGAUAUGAACAAAUAUCUUCCACCGAUCUGGGGGCAUCGGGAAUAGGAAUGUCUUUGAACUGAUCUGAGCUGCGCCAGAAAAUAAGUAGAACAAUCCUCUUCUGAUUCAAAACAUCAGGAUAAGCGCCUGUAAUGACUAGGCGAAUAUUGCUCUCUGAGGAGCCUUCGUAUCUUAAUAACUUUCCUGCAGAAAGAAACAGAUAUGAUAUGAUUUAUGCAUGGUGCAUGUAUGAAUGUGUAUGGAAUAACGUUUCCGAGGAGAAAGACGCUACACGCUUAGAGAAUGCAAUGCAAAUGAUGCAUGAUUCGAACGUUGCUUAGGGAGACAACGGAAGAGCACUAAAUUUCCGAAGCAUUCCUGGAGAGAGUAUAGAACUCUGCGGGGAGGACAAGAUGAGUGACCAGGAGUCACAAACUGCGAGCUGGCAAAGAUGGAUCAAAAAUCUGCUGGAGACGAUCAAAUCUAGACACGAGCUCUAUUUAGGGAAUAAAUCCUGCUUGGGGGAUAUGAACAUCCCAAUCAACUGCUUGGGGAAUACCCUGGCUACUUCACUGGAGAAGCAAAUUCUCGACACUAUGAGGAUGUGGAGAUAAAGACAAGUUAUGGGGACAACUCUGAUGGGGAAUGACCAACUUGCUUGUAUAGGACGCAUUCCGCUGGGGAAAUCUUUGACGGACAUAGAUUCUGCUGAGGAUGCGUGUGAAUCUUUGCUGAGGAAAGAAACUCAGUGGGGAAGAUAGAUACUACCGUGCAAUGAUCUGCUAGGGAUAUGAGAAAUCUGCUGGGGAUAAGGAACCCGACAUAAGAACCUCUUGUUAAGACCAUUCCACUGGGGAAUAAGAUGGCUCUCUUGGGGAAAACAGGUCCAUCUGUUGGAGAGAGAAGCGCUCUACUAGGGAGAACGAGGAACUCGGGCGAGAGACCUCUUUAAGAGUUGAUGGGGAAUCAGAUACCAUCCAAUCAUGACUCAACUGGGGAGAAGACAUUCUGCCGGGGAAUGAGGCUUUUGGAGCAUAGAGAAUGCAUUGAGAUGCGCUUUGCUGAGGAGAUGAGAAUCUUGGAACAAAGAAGACUUCAUAUGAAUGCACUUAGCUGGGGAAUGAGGAUCUCUCAUUAGGAAGCACUCGGCUGGGGAGUGAGAAUCUCUCAUAGCUAGGUCCGUCAAUAUGCUGAUGCGAAGUGCUUGCAAGGACGUACCUGCGAGACAAACAAAUGAAAAUGCCCCAGGAUGUAGCAUAGCAUCUUGAUCUGCCAUCCUGGUUACACAAGACUUCGAAGUAAUUUCAAAGAUUUUAUCAUUUCUAAUCAUGUAUUGUAAAAGCAAUGUAGUUUUCAUAUGCAAAGUUCAACACAAACCCGGGACGUUUUAUGCAAACAAAACAGUAAAAGAAAACAGCUGUUUAAGAUAAAAAUAUGUUUAUUAAUUGAUAUGAAAAAAAUGCCCGAAGAAGGGCGAAUACACUUAAGAAGCAAUUCCUAGUAAGAGGUAACUACACAUUUUUUUUUAAUAGAAGAGGAAUGGCAAUGUGAAACGGAUAUCCAUUAGUUUCGAUCCCGCUAUCACUUUUAUAACUUUGACGUUCUCAUCUCCUUAUUUUGGAAGACCGUACUCAUUAGGAUUGAUCACUGCCCGCUUUGACGACCGAACAUCACCGAACUUGUGGACCCGACGGGGUUUAGGAGUGCCUUUAGGGAUUUGAGUUACCAGGUGCAAACUUAAGAACACGGAGUCUUGCUUAUCCCUCGGUCGGGAGCCCUAAACACGACGAUUGGAAUUAGAGAAUGCUUUAGGGAUUUGAGCUGCCAGGUGCGAACUCAAGAACACGGAGUCUUGCUUAUCCCUCGGUCGGGAGCCCUAAACAUUUCAAGCAUGUAUGAAGGGUGAUUGCCAAGGUGGCAUGCGAGAUGUAGUCGUUCGCUUUUGUCCCUUUUUUUUGCCUAAGUCGCGCUUUCGGGUUUUCAACUUAGCGGGUAUAUUUGUUUCUUUUUCAUUCUUUUGCCUGAUUUAUUUUCCUUUUUUCUUUCUUCUUUUUUUUUUUCUUUUUUUUUUCUUUUUUUUAUCAGGUCUAUGCGAAAUAUUUUUUUACUACAUCUGCGUUCACAGGGUGCGGAAAGUUCUCGCCAUCCAUUGUUGCAAGCAUCAUGGCACCGCCAGAGAAUACUUUUUGCACAACAAAGGGGCAUUCAUACGUCGGAGUCCACUUGCCUCGAGGAUCCCCCUAAGGAAGAAUGAUUCUUUUGAGCACCAGAUCAACUGGUUUAUAGCUUUGGGGUCGCACCCGUUUGUCAAAAGCUUUUCUCAUCUUCUUUUGGUACACUUGGCCAUGUCCAAUAGCCGCUAAGCGUUUCUCAUCGAUGAGGUUCAACUGAUCCAUCCGAUUCUGUACCCAUUCUGACUCGUCAAGCUCGACGUCUUUCAUAAUCCUCAGGGAAGGAAUCUCAACUUCAACUGGCAGUACCGCUUCCAUGCCGUAAACUAGUGAGAAAGGAGUUGCCCCAGUCGAUGUACGCACAGAGGUGUGAUAACCAUGCAAAGCGAAAGGCAACAUAUCGUGCCAAUCUCGGUAGGUCACUACCAUUUUCUGCACAAUCUUCUUAAUGUUCUUGUUGGCCGCUUCAACAGCGCCAUUCAUCUUUGGACGAUACGGAGAAGAAUUAUGAUGCUUGAUCUUGAAGGACUCACAAAGCUCCUUCAUCAACUUUUUAUUGAGAUUUGAUCCAUUAUCAGUAAUGAUCUUCUCAGGAAUCCCAUAACGACAGAUUAUGUUGUGCUUGAUAAAGCGAGUAAUCACUUGCUUGGUGACAUUCGCAUAAGAUGCGGCUUCAACCCACUUGGUGAAGUAAUCGAUGGCAACCAAAAUGAAGCGAUGUCCAUUAGAAGCAGUAGGCUUAAUCUCCCCAAUCAUAUCAAUGCCCCACAUUGCAAAAGGCCACGGAGAAGUCAAAACAUUCAAAGGCACAGGCGGCACGUGCACUUUAUCAGCAUAGAUCUGGCACUUGUGACAAAUUCUGACAUGGUUAUGACAACCGGUUUCCAUAGUGGACCAAUAGUAACCAGCCCUCAAAAUCUUCUUAGCCAUCGUAUGCCCACUAGAAUGGGUUCCAAACUCACCUUCAUGCAUUUCCUCUAUGAUUUUCGAAGCUUCUUCUUUUACGACGCAUCGGAGUAACACACCAUCAUGACGCCUCUUGUACAACACCCCAGCGUUAAGGUAAAACUUAGCUGCAAACCUUCUCAGAAACUUCUUAUCAGUCACCGACGCUUCGGGAGGAUACUCUUGAGUUUCGAGGAACUUUUUGAUAUCAUGAUACCAAGGAUUGCCAUCCAAUUCAACAUCAGCCUCAAAGCAGAAUGCUGGCUCAUCCAACCUGUUGAUGGUAAUGUUAGGCGCUUCAUUGGCCCACUUCACUUUGAACAUGGAAGCCAAAGUAGCGAGAGCAUCAGCAAGAUUGUUCUCUUCUCUAGAAAUAUGCUCGAAUGUGAUCUCAUCAAAGUAUGGAAUAAGUCUCAUCACAUGCUCCCUGUAUGGAAUCAGAUUCUGAUGGCGAGUUUCCCAAUCUCCAUUGAUCUGGCUAAUGACAAGAUUGGAAUCACCAUAAACUUUCAAAUACUUGAUUCGCAAAUCGAUCGCAGCUUCGAUGCCAUAGAUGCAGGCUUCAUACUCAUCCAUGUUAUUAGUGCAGUCAAAACAGAUUCUAGCUGUAAACGGAAUAUGAAAACCUGAUGGAGAAGUAAUUACAGCUCCAACACCAUUCCCGAGUGCAUCAGAGGCACCAUCGAACACGAGCGUCCAUCGCGAUCCUGGUUCGGGUCCUUCCUCUGGUCCAGGAAUGUUACAAUCUCUGAUGUACAAGACAUCCUCAUCUGGGAAUUCAAACUUCAUCGGUUCAUAAUCUUCGACCGGCUGAUGCGCAAGAUAAUCUGCCAACACACUACCUUUAAUGGCUUUCUGGGUAGUAUAUUGGAUAUCAUAUUCAGUCAAAAUCAUUUGCCACCUGGCUACUCUUCCGGAAAGAGCGGGCUUCUCAAAGACAUAUUUGAUAGGAUCCAUCUUGGAAAUCAAUAAGGUGGUGUGAACCAACAUAUACUGCCUCAGCCGGCGAGCAGCCCACACCAAAGCACAACAAGUUUUCUCGAGCAGUGAGUAUCGAGAUUCACAGUCGGUAAACUUUUUGCUAAGGUAGUAUAUUGCAUUCUCUUUUCGGCCAGACUCGUCAUGUUGACCCAGCACACAUCCCAUUGAAUUUUCAAGAACUGUGAGGUACUUAAUCAAAGGCCUUCCCGGAACUGGAGGCAUUAGUAUCGGAGGUUCCUGCAGAUACUCUUUCACUUUUUCGAAUGCUUUUUGACAAUCAUUAUUCCACCUGGCCGUCUGAUCUUUUCUUAGCAAUUUGAAUAUUGGUUCACAAGUGGUCGUAAGAUGAGAGAUGAAUCUAGCAAUAUAGUUCAAUCUCCCUAAGAAACCACGAACCUCUUUUUAUGUUCUCGGCUCAGGCAUCUCUUGUAUCGCUUUUAUUUUUGCAGGAUCGACCUCAAUACCUUUCCCACUAACAACAAAGCCCAACAGCUUUCCGGAUCGCACUCCGAAAGUGCAUUUGUUUGGAUUCAACCUCAGUCUGAAUUCCCGAAGCCUUUCAAACAACUUUUGCAAGUGAACCAAGUGCUCUUCUUCAGUGUGAGAUUUUGCAAUCAUGUCGUCAACAUACACUUCAAUCUCUUUGUGAAUCAUGUCAUGAAAAAGAGUCACCAUGGCACGCUGAUACGUCGCCCCUGCGUUUUUCAACCCAAAAGGCAUGACUUUAUAGCAGAAAGUUCCCCAUGGUGUGAUAAACGUUGUUUUCUCCAUAUCUUCUGGUGCCAUUUUGAUCUGAUUAUAUCCAGAGAAACCAUCCAUGAAGGAAAACACUUUAAAAGGAGCAGUAUUAUCCACCAGCACAUCAAUGUGGGGAAGAGGAAAAUCAUCCUUCGGACUCGCCCUAUUUAGAUCUCUGUAAUCCACACACCUCCUAACCUUUCCGUCCUUCUUAGGUACAAGAACAAUAUUCGCAAUCCACGGAGGGUAAUUCAUAACUUGCAAGAAGCCAGCAUCAAACUGUUUCUCAACCUCUUUCUUAAUUUUCUCAGACAUAUCUGGGCGAGUCCUUCGAAGCUUCUGCUUGACAGGAGGACUAUCUUCCUUAAGAGGUAGACGGUGUACCACAAUAUCAGUAUCAAGACCUGGCAUAUCCUCAUAGGACCAAGAAAAUAUGUCUGCAUACUCUUUCAACAUAGCAAUAAGCCUCUGUUUCACACUAUCCUCAAGCACAGCUCCUAUCUUGACUUCUCGGACUUGCUCUUUAGUGCCAACAUUUACCAUCUCAAUUUCCUCCUGAUGCGGCUGAAUCGCUUUCUUUUCCUGUCUCAAUAAUCUGGCCAACUCGUCGGGGAGAUCACAAUCUUCAUAAGCUUCCUCCUCGGCUUGGUAGAUCGGAUUGUCGAAAUCAUAACAAGCAAUAGCGGAACUAUUACCAAUGAAAUCCGUGGUGGUGGAAUAUCUGCAUGAUUGAUGUUUUUAUUUUAGUUUUAUUAUUAAGCCAUGUGCAAGUGUGUGCAAAAACAUUGCCAUUUAAAGGAAAAAAGUUAAAAAGAAAGACAAGGAGCAAAACAUUUGAAUGCAAAAACGUCCUUUUAUUUCAUGAUUAACUUUGAAAACGUGAACUGCAUGGCCCUACAAAUGAUUCACUACGCCUUGGGCAGCGCGUAGGAAUUAUGUCAUGAUAAGAAAAGUAAAAACAAGGAAAUUUACUCAUGAGCCUGUGUAACUUGGAUGACAUCUUCAAUUGUCCAGUUGCUAGGCACCUCUCCAGGAAUACUUGGACGAAUCCAGCUAUCAAAGUCACAAUCACUAUCCACCUCUUCACCAUUGACAAUGGCAUUCACGGCUGGACCCCCAUGGGUAGGCAUCAGAUUAUUGACAAUAUUGGGUGUAGGAGUGAAUUGGAUUAUCUUUUGAUCCAACAAGUCCUGUACUUUGUUCUUCAACGCAAUACACCUCUCUGUAUCAUGCCCAGCAGCACCUGAAUGGAAAGCACAUCGUGCAUUUGCAUUGUAGUUCGGAGAUUGCGUGUCUGGAGCAUUCGGAGCAUCUCUCAAAGUAAUCUUCUCAAUCUUGAGCAAAUUUUGCAACACCUGAGCAUAGGUCAUAGGAAUCGGAUCAAUCUUUCUAUGAGGCCUGGUCCUGGGAGGAUAGCGAUCAUUAUUAGAACGUUGUCCCUGCUGUUGUUGUUGUUGCGGCACUGGAAUCAUGACAGCAUUAACCUGUGAAUUGUUUCUUCCUGAACCCCUUCUUCCAUAUAUGGCAUCCGCAUUUCCUUCCUUCCUUCUGGCAUAACCCUCAGCUUGUUUCUUACCACUAGGAGUAUUAGAAGAAGAUCCCAACUGAAUUUUCCCCAUCUUUAGACCCAUCUCGACACGUUCGCCAUAUCUCACCAUUUCAGAAAAGUAGCUGAAGCACUACAAGCCAAGUAAUAGUGUCCAAACAAAGUACUAGUGAACAUGUCAAUCAUCUCACGCUCAGUCAUAGGUGGCUGAACCCUCGCAACUAACUCGCGCCAUUUCUGAGCGUACUCUUUGAAAGAUUCUUUAGACCCCUGAACCAAACCCUGCAACUGGGUCCUAUUGGGCGCCAUGUCAACAUUGUACUGAUAGUGCUUAAUGAAAGCCUCCACAAGAUCUCUCCAAGAAUGGAUAUGAGUGCGCUCAAGUUGAACAUACCACUCCAAGGAAGCUCCAGCCAAGCUAUCCUGGAAGAAAUGCAUUAGAAAACCCUCAUCCUCAGAAUAUACGGACAUCUUCCGAUAAUGCGCUUUAACAUGAGUCAUGGGACAAGUCGCCCUGUCAUACCCUAAAAUUUGCCCAUACUAUUUCUCUUGUACAAGUUCAAAUCAAUACACAAGGCUCCUAGACACACUCUCCUAUACAAGGCUCUAAAACUAGGGUUUGGUUCAUUCAAAGGAAAAUCAGUGAAUCAAUGGCUCCAAGGCAUCUCCUAUGGCUCAAUAUAUCUCACACUAUCUCUAUGACAAGUAUCAAGGCUCAUUUCAAAGAAUUGGUCAAUCAGUUGUUCAGAAAGUCAACAGUCGAUUAAGUUAACCUAGAAGUCAACUGUGGUCAAAGUAAAGUCAGAACUCCUGAUUUUUUGUCAAGAUCCUCAUAUUGAAGUAUCAUUCACCAUUUGAUCAAGAAUUGAUCAUGGUUCAUCAAGGAAAGAACAAAAAUCAACAAAUCAAAAAGUUUCUAAAUUAGGGUUUGUAUAGGAGAAAGUCAACUGAACUGUGACCAGCCAUAACUCUCACAUGGAACACCCAAAAUUUUCCAUCCAAAGCUCAUUUUGAAGGAAAUUUGAUUUUCUACAAAAUUGUGUCUCACAUGCCAAAUCUAAAAGUGCUUCAUUUAAGAGAUAUGGACCAAAACAUUAUAGGUCCUUUUCAAAAGUCAACAAAAAGACACUUUUUUCAAAAAGAUAUAAAAUGAGCAUGGAAAAUCAUUUUGAUAUGAGACCAAAGACACCGGUUAGAGGACUCUCUAAGGUUUCUAAAAAGUCCUAGAACACUUCCAUACCUCAAAAAUUGAGAGAGAUAGG